rnacentral:rRNA from 14 species
AGACCGCCAGCUAAGGUCCCCAAAUAUUGCUAAGUGGGAAACGAUGUGGGAAGGCUAAGACAGCUAGGAGGUUGGCUUAGAAGCAGCCACCCUUUAAAGAAAGCGUAAUAGCUCACUAGUCGAGUCGGCCUGCGCGGAAGAUGUAACGGGGCUAAGCAAUAUACCGAAGCUGCGGCAGCACGUAUGUGCUGGGUAGGGGAGCGUUGUGUAAGUGGAUGAAGGUGAAUCGAGAGGUUUGCUGGACAUAUCACAAGUGCGAAUGCUGACAUGAGUAACGAUAAUGGGGGUGAAAAACCCCCACGCCGGAAGACCAAGGUUUCCUGUCCCAUGCUAAUCAGGGCAGGGUAAGUCGGCCCCUAAGGCGAGGCAGAAAUGCGUAGUCGAUGGGAAACGGGUUAAUAUUCCCGUACCUCUUUACAUUGCGAUGGGGAGACGGAGAAAGCUAGGCCAGCAUGGCGACGGUCGUCCAUGUUUAAGGUUGUAGGCUGAGGACUUAGGCAAAUCCGGGUCCUUAAGGCUGAGAACUGAUGACGAGAUCCUUUUUAAGGAUUGAAGUGGUUGAUGCUCUGCUUCCAGGAAAAACCUCUAAGCUUCAGAUGUAAAGGGACCGUACCCCAAACCGACACAG